UCGAUAUGUAAUUGUGAACGAGUAGAUUUUUAAAGCACAGUUCAAAACUAUUAGAGUGACUUGAACUGAAUUGGAAUUAUCUGAGCUGACGAGACGCUGAAUCAAUCCAUUGCAUAAGAAGAUCUAAUUUGCAACUGAAAACAAAAAUGAAAACCGGAAAUUACUGCUGCUGAAAAUGAAUCCAAAUUACUUCUGAAGUAUGCAAAUAAGUUACUCAUAAAAUAUGCAAGCCAGUUAUUCCAACGUCAUCUUAGCUCUACUUCUGGUUGUAUGCACAACCGUUUCUGAAUCCAGCAAACCUCAAUCGGCAGAAAACUCCGAGGGAGACGGGGAUCCAUGCGGUGACCAGCCCUGUGGGGAGAAGGGAACAUGUGCUGAUUUGGGGAACGGGUUCGGCUAUGCCUGUCAAUGCGAGAGGGGAUGGACAGAUGACGAGAACUUCCAACAACCUAACUGCAAAAAAUACGACGAGAAAACAUGUCAUGAUUCACUAUGCGAACAUGGGGGAAAGUGUCCCGCAAAUGACCCCGAUAACCCGAAUUGCGAGUGCACCCCUGGCUACAUGGGCAGAUGGUGUGAACAUGCUGGCGAAGGUCAAUCGGGAAGCUCCUCCAAAUGGGUUGGGGGUCGAUUGAGGUCGCGAAUGGGUCCGGUAUCUCUUUCAACUAUCAUUGGUAUUGUUGUCGCUGUUUCGGGUGUUCUGCUAGUCUGCUCGUUGAUAUGUCUGGUACAAUGUGUGAAACGUAGAAAUGCGGCCAGAAAAACGAAGUCGGCGAAAGCGUUCAAGUUCAACAAGCAGAAAGCUGAAAGUGCAGAUACAUUGCGCUCGUCGCAGUCGACUAUUGACGAGGAAAAGUCGUUACUGUCUCCACAAGCUUCUCCAAGAGGAGAGAUGGGGAUAGGUCAUAAUGUGUCUACGGCACCCAGUACAAGAACCCCAUUGGCUAAUCAUGGAGCGCCUGCUUUAGCUUUCAAUGAGUACUAGAAAAGUGAAUUCACUAAGUGCUUAUUCAAGCAAAUCAGAAAGUGAUCAAUGCCUUAGUGUCAACGGCAACCAAGUAAAAUUGAAUUGAAAUAAGCUGCCAUCAUUGUUUCUGGUUUGCAAUGGAGUAGACUUGUUGAUAACCCAGGUUUCAUUGCAUUAAUAGUCAAGCAGAUUAUCUGGGACUGACGGAUUUUGUUUAAGUCUCAAAAUUAGUUCCAAUUUUUGAUCUAUAGUUUGCAAGUUUGAAGCAAUGUGUCAUGAUUUAAGAAAGAGCCUGAUGUCAAGCAAUAUAGCAGAAGUUAUCAUUAUUGAGAAAAAUCGUGGCGUGUCUCUUUCACCUUGCUUGGACAAUCCCUGUGGCUUCCAUGGUCUCUGUCUACCCUCUGGCCCUAGUGUAUAUUUGUGCGAGUGUGAAGUGGGAUGGACUCAAGACCAGACUAAGCCAACACCCAACUGCAUGUAAGACUGA